CCCUUAGAUGUUCUGGGUCGCACGCGCGCUACACUGAUGCAUUCAACAAGCCUAGCCUUGACCGAGAGGUCCGGGUAAUCUUUGAAACUGCAUCGUGAUGGGGCUAGAUUAUUGCAAUUAUUAAUCUUCAACGAGGAAUGCCUAGUAAGCGUGAUUCAUCAAAUCGCGUUGAUUACGUCCCUGUCCUUUGUACACACCGCCCGUCGCUCCUACCGAUUGAAUGUGUUGGUGAGGAGCUCGGAUUGGCAGCAGUUGGUGGUUCGCCACCGGCUAUUGCUGAGAAGUCCUCCAAACCGCCCCAUUUAGAGGAAGGAGAANUCGUANCA
rnacentral:rRNA from 1 species